UCAUACCUGAAUCCACUCAUUAUGCUGCUACGGGUCUGAUGACAUAGAUUUCAUUGCUGAGUGUUACUGCAUUAUACAAAUUGCAAACUGGGCCAAACAAGAGGUUAAAGGCACUGACUCUCCAAUGGGGAGAGUGUUAGUAAAACGUCUG